UUCUCGGUUGGUAUAGAGGCUAUAGCGUCUGUCUCGGAUGCAUGAGGUUGUGGGUUCGAUCCCCGGCCGGGUCAUGCAAA